rfam:Bacillus coagulans 36D1, complete genome.
CUCUUAUCGAGAGCGGCGGAGGGACUAGGCCCUGCGAAGCCCGGCAACCUUCAGGCAUUUGCCUGAAAAGGUGCUAAUUCCUACAGACAUGCGUCUGAAAGAUAAGGG